rnacentral:rRNA from 1 species
UACAGAGGUCUCAAGCGUUGUUCGGAUUCAUUGGGCGUAAAGGGUGCGUAGGCGGCGCGGUAAGUCGGGUGUGAAAUCUCGGAGCUUAACUCCGAAACUGCAUUCGAUACUGCCGUGCUUGAGGACUGGAGAGGAGACUGGAAUUUACGGUGUAGCGGUGAAAUGCGUAGAUAUCGUAAGGAAGACCAGUGGCGAAGGCGGGUCUCGUGGACAGUUCCUGACGCUGAGGUGCGAAAGCGUGGGGAGCAAACAGG